CUGAGAAACACGCCGGGACCCAUCUUCUGAAGCUGCCAGAAGUCAGGUUCAAGAUGCCAAGGACGAUGUGAGAUUCUUUGAAAAGGAAAAUAACUUUGAUCCACCAUGGCCUUCUGGUUAUAUCCCAAAGUCACGGGUUCCUAUUAUUCUAUUUUCCCAAUGGCUUCAACGGCAGUAUUUUGGAGACUCUGGUAAGACGUAACAGAUGAAGAAGGAGGUGGUGUGUAUAUGUAUACUUGCAUAUGGAAUUCCAUCAGCAUUAGGGGAAAUGUGUGUUUCUAUAUCUGGUUUGGAUCUAACACCAUGAUGUGAGAAUGGAUUCAUUUCAUCCAGCGAGAGGCACCAUCUCAAACCCCAGGGAACAGAAAUAGGAAGAUAAGUUGUAUACAACCUUUGAGCCGAGUCCUUGCCAUAUAGCAUCUUAUUGAAUCCCGUCCAUAACCCAACAAAGAUAUUGAAUAAAAAUACUUGCUCAAGAAUGGAAGUCAAGUAGACUGCAAACCUUUGCUUUAUCUUGUAGACACUGAUCCCGUAAUCUGUGGUCCCAAGGAGCUCACUGGUAAGCAGAGAAGAAGUAGGGAGAAGGUUGAACAAUUCACCCAGAGAAGUACAUAGACUGAGAUCAUCAGAAACUUAGGAGCAUGGAGUCACUUGGAUCCCUCCAAGAAGAUGCAGUGAAGGUGAAAAAGUCACCCUGGGAAGCAGCUGACAGCCCUAGGCCGGCUGGGUGGCCUGUGGCAGAGGUCAGAGGGCAAAGGGCCAGUUUUAAUUUGCACCGGGCGCGCCUCAACCCCUGAGACUGACACCAAACACCCCAGUCACCCAAAGCGCAUCGCAAAGCUUCUGCUAACUGGUGGUUCCAGUUAGUAGAGAUAAAAGUCAGUUUAUAAGAAGGUGAAGAUCAGAGGUCAGAGGUGAAGGUCACAAUGCUGUACCCCUUUUAUUGAUUUUACCCUAAAAACCCAAAUGACCCAAGUUUGCUGCUACACCUAGACUGGCCUCACCAAGCUUGUAAUUAAUUCUGGACCAAAACAGAGCCAAGAAGUGACUGAUGAUAUAUAACAACCAAGAAGCAAUUUACGAUACAUGUAUGUGUAUGUGUGCGUAUAUAUAUGUUUACUGGAUAUCCAUUUCCUGCCUUCGAUAUAUCUGUGUGUAUGCUUGAUACGUUUUUCACAUGAGAAGAAAAUGCGAAGCUUGUACACGUAUGAAAAGAAGCAGACUGUUUAACUUUAUUGCACCAUUUUUCAACAAAAAGGUCUACCAACAGUAACAUGAAAGCUGCAAGCCUUCUCUUGCAAAAGUAUCUAUUCCAACCUUUUGGAAAGGAGCCAAGUGGCUUCAUCUUUGUCAACGAGGGAUUUUCUUUUUCACUGAGACAUCCAACCAUUAAAAUCAAUCAUUUGGGAACACAGAACGUCCUUUUAAGGCAAGACAAGCUUUGUUUGUGUUUGAUUUCCAGUGUUGUGACUGUGAAUUUUUCUUGACAGUCCCUUUGGGCAAAGUACAAUUUGGCAUAUGGUGCCAAUAAAUGAAUUAAAUGAAUUAAUGAUAGCUCGAUCAAUGUUAAUACAUAAAUAAAUUCAUCCAGAAACAGGAAGGUUUCCCAAUGUUUGGUCUUCAGGUUUUAAAAACUGUGUGUACAUUGGCACCAACCCGGAAUUCUUUUUUCUAGGGAAAAUUUUGUUCCAAUCAGAGGCCUCUUCCAGUGUCUUUCCAUGCGAGAUUGAGGUGACUUCUACUAGAUAUACAACAGAGGUCUCUGUUUUUAUGAAAAGACACAGUCUUGACUUUGUUUUCAAUAGCUAGACUCGGGGUUCUUGCAGGAGAUGUCAAUUUUGAAGUCUUUACCCCCCCGUCUUUUUCAGCAUCCCAGGUAAACUAGUUUACUCUGAAAAGAUUUCCUGAGGGACAUUUAGUCAACUUCUCCUCGUACAGAUCCUAAAGUUUACCCUCGGGUCAAUUCAAACCACUGAAAAGUUUUGGAGUUUAAGAGAAGGGAGAGGUCACAGCUGGAGUUCAAAGUGCUGGCUUCUCACAGGAAAGCUUUCCCAAUAUUGUUUCCCUCCAUGAUGGUGGUUUAUAUUAGGCCCAUAAAAACUGGGCACUUUUGAAACAC